GAUGAACGCUGGCGGCGUGCCUAAUACAUGCAAGUCGAGCGAACAGAUGAGAAGCUUGCUUCUCUGAUGUUAGCGGCGGACGGGUGAGUAACACGUGGGUAACCUACCUAUAAGACUGGGAUAACUCCGGGCAACCGGGGCUAAUACCGGAUAAUAUUUUGAACCGCAUGGUUCAAUAGAGAAAGACGGUUUCGGCUGUCACUGAUAGAUGGACCCGCGCCGUAUUAGCUAGUUGGUAAGGUAACGGCUUACCAAGGCGACGAUACGUAGCCGACCUGAGAGGGUGAUCGGCCACACUGGAACUGAGACACGGUCCAGACUCCUACGGGAGGCAGCAGUAGGGAAUCUUCCGCAAUGGGCGAAAGCCUGACGGAGCAACGCCGCGUGAGUGAUGAAGGUCUUCGGAUCGUAAAACUCUGUUGUUAGGGAAGAACAAAUUUGUUAGUAACUGAACAAGUCUUGACGGUACCUAACCAGAAAGCCACGGCUAACUACGUGCCAGCAGCCGCAGUAA
rnacentral:rRNA from 1 species